CAACCCCCAGAGCUGCCCGGAUUUCGGGGUCCCCCAGCCCCCCCCCCAGCUCACGUUGUUGAUCAUGAGGUGCAUGAUGGUCUUUGGCAUGAGGUCGCGGAUGGAUUUGUUGAUGAUGGCCACGUAGGAGUCCACCAGGUUGCGGAUGGUCUCCACCUGGCGCUCCAGCUGGGGGUCCAUGGAGAACGUGUUCUCCUGGGCUCCGUCCUCACUCUCCGUCUGGUCCUUCUCGGGGUACACGCCGGCCCGCAGGAACGACGCCUUCCAGCUGUCCACGUCCUCCUGCGAGUCGCACGCCAGCUCGAUCUGACGGAGAUCCUUGUACACAUUCCGCUGCUCCGUGUUGAAGAUGGCGAAGACGUGCUUGUUGGACAUGAAGCCCUUCUCCACGUCCCGGAUCUUCAGGUUGUCCAGUGGCAGCAUGUACUUCU
rnacentral:lncRNA from 1 species